CCCCUCUUAGGGCUGCACCUGGAGAGUUUCCAGUACUCUACCAGUCUCGACUAUGAGAGGGAGAGUCAAGCAGAGGCCUAGCUAUUCCAUUCGUAGCUUGGGUAGUGGCUACAAGUGGAAGGCAAUCUGUUACAAGU
rnacentral:snoRNA from 1 species